rnacentral:rRNA from 1 species
GCUGGAACUUUUUUUUGAAUAGUUUUAUCAGGUAAAGCGAAUGAUUAGAAGCUCUGGGGGAUGAAACAUCCUCGACUUAUUCUCAAACUUUAAAUAGGUAAGAUGACUAUAGUACUUAGUUUGACUAUUAGUCUCUUGAAUAGUAAGUUCUUAGGGGCCAUUUUUGGUAAGCAGAACUGGCGAUGUGGGAUGAACCAAACGUAAAGUUAAAGUGCCUAAAAGUACGUUCAUCAGAUACCACAAAAGGUGUUGAUUCAUCUUGACAGUUGGACAGUGGCCAUGGAAGUCGGAAUCUGCUAAGGAGUGUGUAACAACUCACCAACCGAAUGAAUUAGCCCUGAAAAUGGAUGGCGCUUAAACGUAUUACUUAUACUUACCGUUAGAAUAAAUGCUAAAUUUAACGAGUAGAGGCGUAUGGAUAAUAUAGAAGAUUAACAGUAAUGUUAAUUGAAAUUAU